rnacentral:rRNA from 1 species
AGAGUUUGAUCCUGGCUCAGAUUGAACGCUGGCGGCAUGCCUUACACAUGCAAGUCGAACGGCAGCACGGGAGCAAUCCUGGUGGCGAGUGGCGAACGGGUGAGUAAUAUAUCGGAACGUGCCCAGUCGUGGGGGAUAACGCAGCGAAAGCUGUGCUAAUACCGCAUACGAUCCAUGGAUGAAAGCGGGGGAUCGCAAGACCUCGCGCGAUUGGAGCGGCCGAUAUCAGAUUAGCUAGUUGGUGAGGUAAAGGCUCACCAAGGCGACGAUCUGUAGCUGGUCUGAGAGGACGACCAGCCACACUGGAACUGAGACACGGUCCAGACUCCUACGGGAGGCAGCAGUGGGGAAUUUUGGACAAUGGGCGCAAGCCUGAUCCAGCAAUGCCGCGUGCAGGAUGAAGGCCUUCGGGUUGUAAACUGCUUUUGUACGGAGCGAAAAGGCUUCUCUUAAUACGAGGGGCUCAUGACGGUACCGUAAGAAUAAGCACCGGCUAACUACGUGCCAGCAGCCGCGGUAAUACGUAGGGUGCGAGCGUUAAUCGGAAUUACUGGGCGUAAAGCGUGCGCAGGCGGUUUUGUAAGACAGAUGUGAAAUCCCCGGGCUCAACCUGGGACCUGCAUUUGUGACUGCAAGGCUAGAGUACGGUAGAGGGGGAUGGAAUUCCGCGUGUAGCAGUGAAAUGCGUAGAUAUGCGGAGGAACACCGAUGGCGAAGGCAAUCCCCUGGACCUGUACUGACGCUCAUGCACGAAAGCGUGGGGAGCAAACAGGAUUAGAUACCCUGGUAG